rnacentral:rRNA from 1 species
AGAGUUUGAUCCUGGCUCAGGACGAACGCUGGCGGCGUGCUUAACACAUGCAAGUGGAGCGACGAACCGGGGCUUGCCCCGGGGCAGAGCCGCGAACGGGUGAGUAACACGUGGGUAACCCACCCCGAUGAUUGGGACAACCCGGGGAAACUCGGGCUAAUACCAAAUGUGCUCGUAGACCAUGAGGUCCACGAGUAAAGAUAGCUUCGGCCUUCGCAUCGGGACGGGCCCGCGGCCCAUUAGCUUGUUGGUGAGGUAACGGCUCACCAAGGCGACGAUGGGUAGCUGGUCUGAGAGGACGAUCAGCCACACUGGGACUGAGACACGGCCCAGACUCCUACGGGAGGCAGCAGUGGGGAAUCUUGCGCAAUGCGCGAAAGCGUGACGCAGCAACGCCGCGUGGAGGAAGACGGUCUUCGGAUUGUAAACUCCUUUCAGUUGGGACGAAGCUCAACGGGUUAAUAGCCCGGCGGAGUGACGGUACCUUCAGAAGAAGCCCCGGCUAACUACGUGCCAGCAGCGGCGGUAAUAC